rnacentral:rRNA from 1 species
ACGAACGCUGGCGGCGUGCUUAACACAUGCAAGUCGAACGAAGAGCGAUGGAAGCUUGCUUCUAUCAAUCUUAGUGGCGAACGGGUGAGUAACGCGUAAUCAACCUGCCCUUCAGAGGGGGACAACAGUUGGAAACGACUGCUAAUACCGCAUACGAUCUAAACUCGGCAUCGAGGAUAGAUGAAAGGUGGCCUCUACAUGUAAGCUAUCACUGAAGGAGGGGAUUGCGUCUGAUUAGCUAGUUGGAGGGGUAACGGCCCACCAAGGCGAUGAUCAGUAGCCGGUCUGAGAGGAUGAACGGCCACAUUGGGACUGAGACACGGCCCAGACUCCUACGGGAGGCAGCAGUGGGGAAUCUUCCGCAAUGGACGAAAGUCUGACGGAGCAACGCCGCGUGAGUGAUGACGGCCUUCGGGUUGUAAAGCUCUGUUAAUCGGGACGAAAGGCCUUCUUGCGAAUAGUGAGAAGGAUUGACGGUACCGGAAUAGAAAGCCACGGCGAACUACGU